rnacentral:rRNA from 1 species
AAAGCCGGAUUAAUACCGCAUACGACCUGAGGGUGAAAGCGGGGGAUUCUUGGGCAACCGAGGNCCUCGCGCGAUAGGAGCGGCCGAUGGCGGAUUAGCUAGUUGGUGGGGUAAAGGCCUACCAAGGCGACGAUCCGUAGCGGGUCUGAGAGGACGGCCCGCCACACUGGAACUGAGACACGGUCCAGACUCCUACGGGAGGCAGCAGUGGGGAAUUUUGGACAAUGGGGGCAACCCUGAUCCAGCCAUUCCGCGUGAGUGAAGAAGGCCUUCGGGUUGUAAAGCUCUUUCGGCAGGAACGAAACGGUGGAGGCUAAUACCUUUCAUCAAUGACGGUACCUGAAGAAGAAGCACCGGCUAACUACGUGCCAGCAGCCGCGGUAAUACGUAGGGUGCGAGCGUUAAUCGGAAUUACUGGGCGUAAAGCGUGCGCAGGCGGCUCACUAAGACAGAUGUGAAAUCCCCGGGCUUAACCUGGGAACUGCGUUUGUGACUGGUGGGCUGGAGUGUGGCAGAGGGGGGUGGAAUUCCACGUGUAGCAGUGAAAUGCGUAGAGAUGUGGAGGAACACCGAUGGCGAAGGCAGCCCCCUGGGUUGACACUGACGCUCAUGCACGAAAGCGUGGGGAGCAAACAGGAUUAGAUACCCUGGUAGUCC